rnacentral:lncRNA from 1 species
GUUGGUCUGGCAUUUAUUUUACACGGUGAUUUCGAACAGCUGUUUAAGCGACACAAUCGCCGCAACGACACUGUGAAGUCUACAGUUAUUUGUAUUAGUUAAACGCCGAUGAGAAACAAACUACCUCAAAGGGAAGUCAGCAGGCGGACAUCAUGCCCAGAGGAGCGAUAAUAACAGUUUUUCUGAGAGACUGAGUGAGAGGCUAAAAAAAUAGACCAGGUUUUAACAGAAAAUCAAUAAAGGCACAAGUUCUCUGUCAUGAACAUCGUUUUGAUGCCUGAACUUACCUCUAAUAUCCUGCUCAAGUACUGGAGGGGCCCUCUCAUCGUUGGUGCCGUCCACCUUUUUAACUUAUUGACACAUCAUAACAGUUCAGCACUAGCUGUACCAAACACAGCUGCGUCAAGCUCCCUACAAGCGGUACACGAAUCCGGAAACAAAGACUUGUCGCACACUAAACAAUUUUACGAAUCAAGAUCUGCUGCAGGUCGUCUGGACGGUGUGACGAGGGAUGAUAGUCCUGAGGACUAGGGUCGCUCAGCCUCCAAACCUCUAUAGCUGUUCCGAGUGGGAGGACUGCUUACCCGUCUGGAUCGCCUGUGACGAGAUCCAACGAACUCAAAAUCCAACCUCUACUCAGCUCGGUGAGAGAGAUUUUGUUUUGUUGCGACUUGUUGAAGAAAAAAAAAAACGGGUUUGAAAUUGGUUUCAGGUAUUCGGGUUUACUUGGCUCUGAUCAUUUGGUUUAGGGAAAGUAAGGUAAAUAACAAUUAAUUCUAAAACAUCCCCUACUAGACUAAAACAUACAACAACAAAAGAAAACAUAAUUAGGACUAGAGAUGAUAAUAUUUCUAAAACGACUAUUUGGCUGAAAACAUCCAAAUAUAAUAAUUAGGAACAAACAAAAAAUUAUAAUUUUAAAAUUUAAUAUUCGGGUAAAAUUAAUUAGGCACUUCCAAGAACUCUGUCGCUGAUCUGAGCGGUUCCCUUUCUACGGAGACGUCCGUGGAAGAGAAAUUUCGAAAAAAGGUUCCGGCCGGAACACAAAAAAGUCUAAGGCAGGAAACCGCCGGGACUCUGAAAGAUGGGUUCGGGGCGAUCUAAGUCUCCACCACCAGACUGCAGCAUUACAAAAGUACAAAGUAAAUAUGGUUAUUAGUGCGUUUCAUGUUUUCAUGAGUGGGAAACUGGUUACUGGUUAAAAGGAGAAUCACUUGUGUAAAAGACAUAUGCAUCUUAAAAGAAAAAUUAGAUACAAAAGAUGAGAUUUGAAAAAGCAAAACUAUUAAAACUAAACCCCUAAAAGAAACAAAAGAGAGAUGAGAGUAACAGAAAGAAAGGAGAUAACAACUCUGGGGAAGAAUUGUUUGCACUCUGCCACA